rnacentral:rRNA from 1 species
UACGUAGGGAGCAAGCGUUGUCCGGAAUCAUUGGGCGUAAAGCGCGCGUAGGUGGCUUCGUAAGUCCGUUGUGAAAGUCAAAGGCUCAACCUUUGAAAGCCGAUGGAUACUGUGAAGCUAGAGUACGGAAGAGGCGAGUGGAAUUCCUGGUGUAGCGGUGAAAUGCGCAGAUAUCAGGAGGAACACCGAUGGCGAAGGCAGCUCGCUGGGACGUGACUGACGCUGAGACGCGAAAGCGUGGGGAGCAAACAGG